AUGCACGCUAGCUACAGGCUUAACACCUGCAAGUCGAGGGGAAACGACAUCGAAAGCUUGCUUUUGAUGGGCGUCGACCGGCGCACGGGUGAGUAACGCGUAUCCAACCUGCCCACCACUUGGGGAUAACCUUGCGAAAGUAAGACUAAUACCCAAUGACGUCUCUAGAAGACAUCUGAAAGAGAUUAAAGAUUUAUCGGUGAUGGAUGGGGAUGCGUCUGAUUAGCUUGUUGGCGGGGUAACGGCCCACCAAGGCGACGAUCAGUAGGGGUUCUGAGAGGAAGGUCCCCCACAUUGGAACUGAGACACGGUCCAAACUCCUACGGGAGGCAGCAGUGAGGAAUAUUGGUCAAUGGACGAGAGUCUGAACCAGCCAAGUAGCGUGCAGGAUGACGGCCCUAUGGGUUGUAAACUGCUUUUAUAAGGGAAUAAAGUGAGUCUCGUGAGACUUUUUGCAUGUACCUUAUGAAUAAGGACCGGCUAAUUCCGUG
rnacentral:rRNA from 1 species